rnacentral:rRNA from 1 species
UGGGGAAUAUUGGACAAUGGGCGCAAGCCUGAUCCAGCAACGCCGCGUGGAGGAUGAAGGCCUUCGGGUUGUAAACUCCUGUUAGGGGGAACGAAGGGUCACGGGUUAACAGCCGGUGACCUUGACGGUACCUCCAGAGGAAGCCCCGGCUAACUCUGUGCCAGCAGCCGCGGUAAUACAGAGGGGGCGAGCGUUAUUCGGAAUUAUUGGGCGUAAAGGGCGCGUAGGCGGCUUGGCAAGUCAAAGGUGAAAUCCCUCGGCUCAACCGAGGAACUGCCUUUGAAACUGCCGGGCUCGAGGCCGGGAGAGGGUAGUGGAAUUCCCAGUGUAGCGGUGAAAUGCGUAGAUAUUGGGAGGAACACCGGUGGCGAAGGCGGCUACCUGGACCGGUUCUGACGCU